CCUUUAUCAUGUAAACACAAUGCUCCUACCCAGAAUUCAAUGGUUCAAACAGACAAAAGAUAACCCACCAAAAAAAAAAACAGUUUGCUAUUUAAACUUAGAAUGCAGGGAAGCCACAAAAUGUACAAAAUGUAACAUCUAAAAACAAUUACAAUAUAUUCAGUUUAGUUCUAGUUAGAUGCAACAGGAGAGAGACAAUACAGCACAUGGGCUAUUAAAAAUGGC